AGCCUGUGAGCCACACCUGCCUCUUCCCCAGGACUACCUAACCCUGGAGCUACUUACAUUUCCUAGGCAACUCUCUGCUUAGUUUGGGAAUUCUGUUGGCAUGUUACCUGGUUUGAGUACGCAAUCUAGCAAUGAGGAAAAGAGUCUAUUACAUUGUGUGGGCUAAAUUUCCCAUUUAAAAUUUAAUUGAACUGGUGUAAAAAGGAGAUGCAGGGAAAUUAGGGGAAGAAUAAGGAAAAAAGUAGGUUACAGAGUUUGUAUAUAAUUUAGGAGUUCUCAAAUUGAUCGGACUGGGUAAAUUGCAUUUUAGGAUAUUCGAAGCACUGUUGGAAGAAAUCACACAGUUACUGUCUUUGAAAAGAGAUGAAGAAUGAUGACAUGUUUGAAGAUGAGAUGAUUGGCCAGGAAAAUUCUCUGCUUCUGCUGAUGAUUGAACAGAAAUACAAUGCUUCCUGAAAGGGUUGUUUUGAAAGUUGAAUGAAAUUUGAUGAAAUGUUGGGAAAGGAUCUACCUGUUUAGACAUGAGUGCACCUUUCUAACCUCAGAAGACCUGCUGUUGAAUCAAAAUGGAUGGUAUUCAUAUAUUCAUUCAUGUACUGCAAAAUUUGCCUGCAUAAAAUUGCAAUGGGACAGAACAGCCAGAUGAUUAUUCUUCAGACUCUCUUACUACAAACAUCCUUGAAAACAAAGUGCUGUUCACAUAAAUGUUUAUGGAAAGUUAAUUCAAUAAAAGCAAAAAUGCAGGUUCUUUUCUCCAGGCUAAUUUUAUUUGGAGAUUCUGCUGCCUUUAUUACUGAGGAGUACUAUAAACAGCUUGAAUAAUCUCAAAGAAAUGAAUUUGUCUAUUCAACAAUAAGGUUCUAAUUAGUGUGAGUAACUGGGAGAGAAUCUGGACCUUACAGAUUUGGUGGGUAAUUUUUUUCUUCACUCUGCAUCCAUUUUGUUCUUUUGUUGUCUCAUGGAUCAUUUUGUUGUAUUCGUAGCCGUAAACUUUUUCAACAUUUAUCUUAGUGAUGAAACACAAACUUAGUCCAAAGUCUUUGAAGGCAGUGGAAUCAUUUCCAUUUAUUACUAUGGAAUUUCAAUUUGUCCUAAUGUGAUACAUGAAAAUAUAUUAAAAACUAAAAUUGCUUUUCCUUUGGAGUG